rnacentral:lncRNA from 1 species
CGGCGCCGGCCAGGGCGACGGAGGACGACGACGAAGACGCGAGCGGCGACGAGAGCAGCGACGACGCGACCCUCGGCCGCGAGUCCCUAACCGCAAUAGCCGGUUUUCUCGGCGAAUUAUUUGCGAAUCACGAAUAAUUCGCGAAUAAUUAUUUUUGACGAAGAAAAUCACGUUUUUUUUCGAACUUUUCGCAAAAAUACGAAAAUCGCCGUUUAAUUCGUAUCUUCAAAGAUAUGCGAAUAAUUCACGUAUUAAACGCGAAUUAACUAACUAGGCUAUUAAACCAAUAACUCGCUCAACUUUAUGGGGCGCACAUCAUCCUAACCGUACAUUUUUUUCAUGCAAGUGCCGAAAACCUAAUAGCAUCAAUAGUUUAGUACUAUUGAUAGUAUUCCAGCCUAAUUUUAUAUAUAUAUAUAUAUAUAUAUAUAUAUAUAUAUAUAGUU